rnacentral:rRNA from 1 species
GACGAACGCUGGCGGCGUGCUUAACACAUGCAAGUCGAACGGAAAGGCCCUGCUUUUGUGGGGUGCUCGAGUGGCGAACGGGUGAGUAACACGUGAGUAACCUGCCCUUGACUUUGGGAUAACUUCAGGAAACUGGGGCUAAUACCGGAUAGGAGCUCCUGCCGCAUGGUGGGGGGUGGAAAGUUUCGGCGGUUGGGGAUGGACUCGCGGCUUAUCAGCUUGUUGGUGGGGUAGUGGCUUACCAAGGCUUUGACGGGUAGCCGGCCUGAGAGGGUGACCGGCCACAUUGGGCCUGAGCUACGGCCCAGACUCCUACGGGAGGCAGCAGUGGGGAAUAUUGCACAAUGGGCGGAAGCCUGAUGCAGCAACGCCGCGUGCGGGAUGACGGCCUUCGGGUUGUAAACCGCUUUCGCCUGUGACGAAGCGUGAGUGACGGUAAUGGGUAAAGAAGCACCGGCUAACUACGUG